rnacentral:rRNA from 1 species
AGCAGUAGGGAAGUCUUCGGCAAUGGACGAAAGUCUGACCGAGCAACGCCGCGUGAGUGAAGAAGGUUUUCGGAUCGUAAAACUCUGUUGGUAGAGAAGAACGUUGGUGAGAGUGGAAAGCUCAUCAAGUGACGGUAACUACCCAGAAAGGGACGGCUAACUACGUGCCCG